UACAGAGGGUGCGAACGUUGUUCGGAAUUACUGGGCGUAAAGCGUGUGUAGGCGGCAAUGCAAGUCGGGCGUGAAAUCCCACGGCUCAACCGUGGAAGUGCACUCGAAACUGCAUAGCUAGAGUCCUGGAGAGGAAGGUGGAAUGCUUGGUGUAGAGGUGAAAUUCGUAGAUAUCAAGCGGAACACCGGCGGCGAAGGCGGCCUUCUGGACAGUGACUGACGCUGAGACACGAAAGCGUGGGGAGCAAACAGG
rnacentral:rRNA from 1 species